rnacentral:rRNA from 1 species
CCUACGGGUGGCUGCAGUAGGGAAUCUUCGGCAAUGGACGAAAGUCUGACCGAGCAACGCCGCGUGAGUGAAGAAGGUUUUCGGAUCGUAAAACUCUGUUGUUAGAGAAGAACAAGGAUGAGAGUAACUGUUCAUCCCUUGACGGUAUCUAACCAGAAAGCCACGGCUAACUACGUGCCAGCAGCCGCGGUAAUACGUAGGUGGCAAGCGUUGUCCGGAUUUAUUGGGCGUAAAGCGAGCGCAGGCGGUUUCUUAAGUCUGAUGUGAAAGCCCCCGGCUCAACCGGGGAGGGUCAUUGGAAACUGGGAGACUUGAGUGCAGAAGAGGAGAGUGGAAUUCCAUGUGUAGCGGUGAAAUGCGUAGAUAUAUGGAGGAACACCAGUGGCGAAGGCGGCUCUCUGGUCUGUAACUGACGCUGAGGCUCGAAAGCGUGGGGAGCAAACAGGAUUAGAUACCCCUGUAGUC